rnacentral:rRNA from 1 species
CAGGAAGCAGCUUGCUGCUUUGCUGACGAGUGGCGGACGGGUGAGUAAUGUCUGGGAAACUGCCUGAUGGAGGGGGAUAACUACUGGAAACGGUGGCUAAUACCGCAUAACGUCGCAAGACCAAAGAGGGGGACCUUCGGGCCUCUUGCCAUCAGAUGUGCCCAGAUGGGAUUAGCUUGUUGGUGAGGUAACGGCUCACCAAGGCGACGAUCCCUAGCUGGUCUGAGAGGAUGACCAGCCACACUGGAACUGAGACACGGUCCAGACUCCUACGGGAGGCAGCAGUGGGGAAUAUUGCACAAUGGGCGCAAGCCUGAUGCAGCCAUGCCGCGUGUAUGAAGAAGGCCUUCGGGUUGUAAAGUACUUUCAGCGGGGAGGAAGGUGUUGUGGUUAAUAACCACAGCAAUUGACGUUACCCGCAGAAGAAGCACCGGCUAACUCCGUGCCAGCAGCCGCGGUAAUACGGAGGGUGCAAGCGUUAAUCGGAAUUACUGGGCGUAAAGCGCACGCAGGCGGUCUGUCAAGUCGGAUGUGAAAUCCCCGGGCUCAACCUGGGAACUGCAUUCGAAACUGGCAGGCUUGAGUCUUGUAGAGGGGGGUAGAAUUCCAGGUGUAGCGGUGAAAUGCGUAGAGAUCUGGAGGAAUACCGGUGGCGAAGGCGGCCCCCUGGACAAAGACUGACGCUCAGGUGCGAAAGCGUGGGGAGCAAACAGGAUUAGAUACCCUGGUAGUCCACGCCGUAAACGAUGUCUACUUGGAGGUUGUGCCCUUGAGGCGUGGCUUCCGGAGCUAACGCGUUAAGUAGACCGCCUGGGGAGUACGGCCGCAAGGUUAAAACUCAAAUGAAUUGACGGGGGCCCGCACAAGCGGUGGAGCAUGUGGUUUAAUUCGAUGCAACGCGAAGAACCUUACCUGGUCUUGACAUCCACAGAACUUUCCAGAGAUGGACUGGUGCCUUCGGGAACUGUGAGACAGGUGCUGCAUGGCUGUCGUCAGCUCGUGUUGUGAAAUGUUGGGUUAAGUCCCGCAACGAGCGCAACCCUUAUCCUUUGUUGCCAGCGAUUAGGUCGGGAACUCAAAGGAGACUGCCAGUGAUAAACUGGAGGAAGGUGGGGAUGACGUCAAGUCAUCAUGGCCCUUACGACCAGGGCUACACACGUGCUACAAUGGCGCAUACAAAGAGAAGCGACCUCGCGAGAGCAAGCGGACCUCAUAAAGUGCGUCGUAGUCCGGAUUGGAGUCUGCAACUCGACUCCAUGAAGUCGGAAUCGCUAGUAAUCGUGGAUCAGAAUGCCACGGUGAAUACGUUCCCGGGCCUUGUACACACCGCCCGUCACACCAUGGGAGUGGGUUGCAAAAGAAGUAGGUAGCUUAACCUUCGGGAGGGCGCUUACCACUUUGUGAUUCAUGACUGGGGUGAAGUCGUAACAAGGUAACCGUAGGGGAACCUGCGGUUGGAUCACCUCCUUACCUUAAAGAA